UCAGGGAAUUUGUAUAGCGUUUUUAUUAUUUUGGUGGAAACUCAAAGCACUUACAGUGAAGGGAGGGACCUCACUAACCACAACCAAUGAGUCGCACCCAUGGGUGAUGCACCAAUCAGCGCCAGAACGUUCACCACACACUGGCUUGAGGUGGAGAGUGAGGGAAUUAAUGAAUCAGACAAUUAUACAGGGGGAUGAUUAGGGUGCCAGAUUGAAUGAGCCUGGUUGGGCAUUUUUAGCAAGGACAACGGGAAACCCCCGCCUCUUUGCGAUAAAUGCCCUGGGAUCUUUUAUGACCUCAGUGAGUCAGCUUAGACACUUUACACUUUUUUAAUUCACUUGUUUAUUCUCUGAUGUGUGUGGUUUGUGAAUAUGUGAUGCACAGUAACUCGUACCAUGUGAACUCAAAUGCCAACGGGAAUAUCAAGUUACGUUAGUUUAAGUGAAUUUAAAGGCCAUUUGGACGUGUAGCCUCUGUGAAGUCAGCCUUAUACCGACAGAACCAUCGAUGUCAGCAACCAUCCGCAGCAAACGGUUCUUAUUUAAGGGCGGGGCUUCGUUAUAGUUUACAACCAAAACUAAUUAAUUUACUAAGGUUAUAAUUUCUUGACGACAUAAAACCAGCGAAUGGGACCUCACAAAAUACAAUAUGGCGACACUAAGCUUCUAACUGAAAAAAAGAAAGAAAUGAUCGGCUUUGUAUCACCUGAAGGAAAUCAUAUUUUUCACGUGUCUUAAUUGAACGGAUCUUUUUGCGUCCAAAUGCCACAAACAGUUAUGAGCUAGGCUACAUGCUAGUCAUCUCCGCCAAAGCUCAACUAACAGCAGUAAUGGCUGUGUGUAGUUAGGACUUAUAUGAUGCUAUAUGAUGCCUACGUAUAUGAUGCUAGUGAGGACUUAUUUGAUACAAAUUAACUAUCUGGUACUAUGAAUAAGCUAAUUCUGGCAAACUCUUCUGAUGCUACUACAUUAACAAUCUUAAAUCUUCGACCCAUCAUGUUGCAUGAUACUUUUUUUAUUUUUUUGGUAAGGAUCUCAGAGGCUCCAUAUUAUUAUGUAUUUUGUCACGUUUGACAGUAAUUUGAUUAUUAAUGUAUUCAGGAUGGAAUAUUAAUGAGUGACAUACGCUGACCACUGUGUGGUGGCCAUGAAAGACCCUCAAUGUGCCAAAUGGGUUAGGUUUCCACUGCUUGGGGAACAGAUCCCCUACGAUGGUGCUGUCCAUGGGGGGUAAAUCCACACCCCAAACAGUCUGGGUGAACCGAUCGGGGACGUCACCGACAGUAUGUCCACAUUUCUUGCACUCCGUGUUAUACAAAAUAUGGACCUAGCAUCGGAGAUAUCUCCGGAGCGAAACAGGAGACAAGGCGUAACUGUCGUCUCACCUCAGGAGUUCUGUCGUAGCGUGUUAUGACUGCUGGGACAACAUUAGUUCACUUUCAGCACUUUAAAAACUUAGCUGAUGCUAGUUAUCAUCCAUCUGGUAAAGGUGAGCACUUAUCUAAUGCUUUGAUGGUACCUGGUAGCACUUCAGAUGCUAGCACCUGGUAGCACUUAUCAGAUGCUAGUCUGGAUUUAUAUGAAUGCUAGAUAGCUAUCUGAUGCGAUUUAUGACUUAGCUGAUGCUAGUUAGCUAUAUGUUGCUAGCUAUGACUUCUGAUAUUGAUUAGCCAUAUGAUGCUAGUUACCCAAGUGUUAAACUUCACACAUCACAGGGAGAGAGAAUAGAUAGUUUAUUAAUCUCCAAAGGGAAAUUACGUUGUAACAGCAGCACAGAUUCUAAAAUAAAAUAUAAAUAAAAAAAUAUAUAUAAAAACAAAGGUAAUAGUCAACAAUAUGAUUAAAUUCAAUUUGACUUCUCACAAUACAACACAAAAUUAUCCAUAAAUAGUAAAUACUAAUGCAAACCAAACAAUACUACUAAUACUGUAUUACAAUAUAGUUAGAUCCUGGUGAUAUACAUUCAUGUUGCCGUGGUAAUGUCAGGUUUACAUUCCUGUUGCCAUCGUGACGUCAUGUUUACAUUCACAUUGUCGUAGUGAUGUGGUUGGGUUGCCGUAGUGAUGUCAGGUGGGUGUUGCCGUAGUGAUGUCAGGUGGGUGUUGCCUGGCCACGUCAGGUGGGUGUGGCCGUGGCAAUGUCAGGUGGGUGUUGCUGUGUUGACAUCAGGUGGGUGUUGCCGUGGUGACGUCAGGUGGGUGUUACCGUGGUGAUGUCAGGUGGGUGAUGUCAGGUGGGUGUUGCCGUCAGGUGGGUGUUGCCGUGGUGACGUCAGGUGGGUGUUGCCGUGGCGACGUCAGGUGGGUGUUGCCCUGGUGACGUCAGGUGGUUCUUGCCAAUGUCAUUACAGUGGCAACGUUGAAGGUUUUUUCACGUUUCAAUUAAUUUAUCAGAAGUUAAAGGUUGGGUAUGGGAUUUGCGAAACGCCAGCAGAUUUUGAAAAUACACAACUCAAAUGAUCCUAACCCCUCUCCUUCAACGCUGACAGCGCGAAGGAGUGCUUGGUCUUCUAGUGCUAGGUCCAAAUGUGGAUUAGCUAGUUAGCUAGCUCCAGUAGCUGCCGCAGGAUAACAACAAGCAGAAGCUUGCUCUGGGUCACGAGCUUUGAGUACGUGCACGAAGGGGUCACGCGCGGGGGGAGGGGGAGUGCAGUACGACCGUUUGAUUGACGUACUUACUGUCCAAUGCCACUCGGUGGUUCUGGAAAUCAUUGGCUGGAGUUUUCCGAGCCCUGCCCGUUCCACAGAUGAUUGACUUGUUUAAUUUUCAUGUCAGUACUUCUAACUCAGUGGCUGUAAGUGGGUUAUGAUAAGGAUUUCAAGGAAUUUUGCAAAAAUGGCCAAAAAAGAGAAUUCCAUACCCAACCUUUAAUAUCGAGGUGACUGACAGUGAGUUCAGAUCCAGGAAGCGGUGAGGGCCCCUCACCCUCUCCAGGUGAGGGCCCCUCACCCUCUACAGGUGAGGGGCCCUCACCCUCCAGGGAGGCUCCGCUCUCCAGCCCCCGCUCUGCCUCUGAGCCCCCUGUGGAGGGGGGUGUCGGUGAGUUAAGGGUCCCAGUCUGGUCCUGACUCAACCGACACCAGAACCGGUCCCUGAUCGGUCC